AUUGAACGCUGGCGGCAGGCCUAACACAUGCAAGUCGAGCGAGCGGCGGACGGGUGAGUAAUAUAUCGGAACGUGCCCAUUAGCGGGGGAUAACUACUCGAAAGAGGGGCUAAUACCGCAUACUAUGGGAGCGGCCGAUAUCGGAUUAGCUAGGUGGUGGGGUAAAGGCCCACCAAGGCAACGAACCGUAGCUGGUUUGAGAGGACGACCAGCCACACUGGGACUGAGACACGGCCCAGACUCCUACGGGAGGCAGCAGUGGGGAAUAUUGCACAAUGGGCGCAAGCCUGAUGCAGCCAUGCCGCGUGUAUGAAGAAGGCCCUAGGGUUGUAAAGUACUUUCAGUCGGGAGGCGUUACCGACAGAAGAAGCACCGGCUAACUCCGUGCCAGCAGCCGCGGUAAUUC
rnacentral:rRNA from 1 species